GAUGAACGCUGGCGGCGUGCCUAAUACAUGCAAGUCGAGCGAACAGACGAGGAGCUUGCUCCUCUGACGUUAGCGGCGGACGGGUGAGUAACACGUGGAUAACCUACCUAUAAGACUGGGAUAACUUCGGGAAACCGGAGCUAAUACCGGAUAAUAUAUUGAACCGCAUGGUUCAAUAGUGAAAGACGGUUUUGCUGUCACUUAUAGAUGGCUCCGCGCCGCAUUAGCUAGUUGGUAAGGUAACGGCCUACCAAGGCAACGAUGCGUAGCCGACCUGAGAGGGUGAUCGGCCACACUGGAACUGAGACACGGUCCAGACUCCUACGGGAGGCAGCAGUAGGGAAUCUUCCGCAAUGGGCGAAAGCCUGACGGAGCAACGCCGCGUGAGUGAUGAAGGUCUUCGGAUCGUAAAACUCUGUUAUUAGGGAAGAACAAAUGUGUAAGUAACUAUGCACGUCUUGACGGUACCUAAUCAGAAAGCCACGGCUAACUACGUG
rnacentral:rRNA from 1 species